rnacentral:rRNA from 1 species
GAGAGGACCGGAGUGGACGCAUCACUGGUGUUCGGGUUGUCAUGCCAAUGGCACUGCCCGGUAGCUAAAUGCGGAAGAGAUAAGUGCUGAAAGCAUCUAAGCACGAAACUUGCCCCGAGAUGAGUUCUCCCUGACUCCUUGAGAGUCCUGAAGGAACGUUGAAGACGACGACGUUGAUAGGCCGGGUGUGUAAGCGCAGCGAUGCGUUGAGCUAACCGGUACUAAUGAACCGUGAGGCUUAACCUUACAACGCCGAAGGUGUUU